GUGAGUGUCCUGCCUGUCUCUUUCCUGAGCCUCUGUGUGCAGUAGACUAAGGUCAGCAACGUUUACAAAAGCACCUGCCUGGGCAAGGCAACGUCCAGACAGAGCCCCUGCUGUCUGCCAGUCUGGCUGGAAUUAGCACACCGAUGUCUGUGCAACUCAGUGUCACCGCCACAGGAGGCUGAUGGGGAUGCAGUUUAGCUCCGGCUGCAGACAGCAGGCUGUUCCUGCCCCCAUCACCUCUCCACCACACCACAGCCUUUCCCUCUGGAUAAUCGGCUCCACCCUCACCUCAUCCAGGAAGCCUCAGAGGAGCUCCACCUUGCUUCGAUCUAUCAAACCCUUCAGUCAGUUCCUGUCUCCCAGCUUUUAUCUUUGCCACCCCUCUUCCUAAAUAUGUGACACUUAAUUAUGACUGUCUCAAACUGUGUGAGUGACUCAUGAAAAUGUUUAUGUAUUUCUAGCUUCUAUGUACUUACUGUAUUUACUUCCCCCGCCCGUAACAUAGUAGAUUCAGCACUGGGCUUGGACUUGAAUGCCCCGGGAAUAAAAAUCGGGAUAAUAAUAAUUAUAUUGCAGGGCUUUUUAAAAAUGAGCUGAUAUGUAAGUGGCACAGAGUGGG
rnacentral:lncRNA from 1 species